rnacentral:tRNA from 1 species
GGAAGCGUGCCUGAAUUUAAAGGGUCACUUUGAUAGAGUGAAUCAUGAAGGCUAGAACCCUUCCGCCUCCU